rnacentral:lncRNA from 1 species
AUGUGGUUUGUUGCCUCCAUCCCUCUGUCACCUACAUCUGGCAUUUCUCCUCAUGUUAUCCCUCCCCAACCUCCGCACCCACCCACUGUCCCUCCCUUGGUGCCCCCCAACAGACCCCAGUGUGUGAUGCUCCCCUCCCUGUGUCCAUGUGUUCUCAUUGUCACCCGCCUAUGAGUGAGAAUAUGUGGUAUUUCAUUUUCUGUUCUUGUGUCAGUUUGCUGAGGAUGAUGUUCUCCAGAUUCGUCCAUGUCCCUACAAAGGACACGAACUCAUUGUUUUUGAUUGCUGCAUAGUAUUCCAUGGUGUGUAUGUGCCACAUUUUCCCAGUCCAGUCUAUCGUCGAUGGGCAUUUGGGUUGGUUCCAGGUCUUUUCUAUUGUAAACAGUGCUGCAAUGAACAUUCGUGUGCAUGUGUCCUUAUAGUAGAACGAUUUAUAGUCCUUUGGAUAUAUACCCAGUAAUGGGAUUGCUGGGUCAAAUGGAAUUUCUAUUUCUAAGGCCUUGAGGAAUCGCCACACUGUCUUCCACAAUGGUUGAACUAAUUUACACUCCCACCAACAGUGUAAAAGUGUUCCUAUUUCUCCACAUCCUCUCCAGCAUCUGUCUCCAGAUUUUUUAAUGAUCACCAUUCUAACUGGCGUGAGAUGGUAUCUCAGUGUGGUUUUGAUUUGCAUCUCUCUAAUGACCAGUGAUGAUGAGCAUUUUUUCAUAUGUUUGUUGGCCUCAUGUAUGUCUUCUUUUGUAAAGUGUCUAUUCAUAUCCUUUGCCCAUUUUUGAAUGGGCUUGUUUGUUUUUUUUCCUGUAAAUCUGUUUGAGUUCUUGGUAAAUUCUGGAUAUCAGCCCUUGUCAGAUGGGUAAACUGCAAAAAUUUUUUCCCAUUCUGUUGGUUGCCGAUUCAUUCUAGUGACUGUUUCUUUUGCCAUACAGAAGCUGUGGAGUUUCAUUAGGUCCCAUUUGUCUAUUUUGGCUUUUGUUGCCAAUGCUUUUGGUGUUUUGGUCAUGAAGUCCUUGCCUACUCCUAUGUCCUGAAUGGUUUUGCCUAGAUUUUCUUCUAGGGUUUUUUGGUGCCAGGUCUUAUGUUUAAGUCUUUAAUCCAUCUGGAGUUAAUUUUAGUGUAAGGUGUCAGGAAGGGGUCCAGUUUCUGCUUUCUGCACAUGGCUAGCCAGUUUUCCCAACACCAUUUAUUAAACAGGGAAUCCUUUCCCCAUUGCUUGUUUUUGUCAGGUUUAUCAAAGAUUGUAUGGUUGUAGAUAUGCUGUGUUGCCUCCGAUGCCUCUGUUUUGUUCCAUUGGUCUAUAUCUCUGUUUUGGUACCAGUACCAUGCUGUUUUGAUUACUGUAGCCUUGUAGUAUAGUUUGAAGUCCAGUAGUGUGAUGCCUCUUGCUGUGUUCUUUUUGCUUAGAAUUGACUUGGUUAUGUGGGCUCUCUUUUGGUUCCAUAUGAAGUUCAUGGUGGAUUUUUCCAGUUCUGUGAAGAAAGUCAAUGGUAGCUUGAUGGGGAUAGCAUUGAUUCUGUAAAUUACUUUGAGCAGUAUAGCCAUUUUCAUGAUAUUGAUUCUUCCUAACCAUUAACAUAGAAUGUUUCUCCAUCUGUUUGUGUCCUCUCUUAUUUCGUUGAGCAGUGGUUUGUAGUUUUCCUUGAAGAGGUCCCUUAGGUUCUUUGUAAGUUUUAUUCCUAGGUAUUUUAUUGUUUUUGUAGCAAUUGUGAAUGGCAGUUCGUUCUUGAUUUGACUCUCUUUAAGUCUGUUAUUGGUGUAUAGAAAUGCUUGUGAUUUUUGCACAUUGAUUUUAUAUCCUGAGAUUUUGCUGAAGUUGCUUAUCAGUUUCAGGAGUUUUUGGGCUGAGAUGAUGGGGUCUUCUAGAUAUAUUAUCAUGUCAUCUGCAAAUAAAGACAGUUUGGCUUCCUCCUUUCCUAUUUGAAUACCCUUUAUUCCUUUUUCUUGCCUGAUUGCUCUGGCUAGAACUUCCAGUACUAUAUUGAAUAGGAGUGGUGAGAGAGGGCAUCCUUGUCUAGUGCUGGAUUUCAAAGGGAAUGCUUCCAGUUUUUGUCCAUUCAGUAUGAUAUUGGCUGUUGGUUUGUCAUAAAUAGCUUUUAUUACUUUGAGAUACGUUUCAUCAAUACCGAGUUUAUUGAGGGUUUUUAGCAUAAAGCACUGUUGAAUUUUGUCAAAUGUCUUCUCUGCGUCAAUUGAGAUAAUCAUGUGGUUUUUGUUUUUGGUUCUGUUUAUGUGGUGAAUUACGUUUAUAGACUUGCGUAUGUUGAACCAGCCUUGCAUCCCCGGGAUGAAUCCUACUUGAUCAUGAUGGAUACAUUUUUUGAUGUGCUGUUGAAAUCGGUCUGCCAGUAUUUUAUUGAAGAUUUUUGCGUCUAUGUUUAUCAUGGAUAUUGGCCUGAAGUUUUCUUUUCUUGUUGAAUCUCUGCCUGGUUUUGGUAUCAGGAUGACGUUGGUCUCAUAAAAUGAUUUGGGAAGGAUUCCCUCUUUUUGGAUUAUUUAUAAUAGUUUAAGAAGGAAUGGUACCAGCUCCUCUUUGUGUUCCUGGUAGAAUUCAGCUGUGAACCCAUCUGGACCUGGGCUUUUUUUGUGUGGUAGGCUCUUAAUUGCUGCCUCGACUUCAGACCUUGUUAUUGGUCUAUUCAUAGUUUUGGCUUCCUCCUGGUUUAGACUUGGGAGGACACAGAUGUCCAGAAAUUUAUCCAUUUCUUCCAGGUUUACUAGUUUAUGUGCAUAGAGUUGUUUGUAGUAUUCUGAUGAUGGUUUGAAUUUCUGUGGAAUCUGUAGUGAUUUUCCCUUUAUCAUUAUUUAUUGCAUCUAUUUGGUUGUUCUCUCUUUCUUUUUUAUCAGUCUGUCUAGUGGUCUGUCUAUGUUGUUGAUCUUUUCAAAAAAACCAGCUCUUGGAUUUAUUGAUUUUUUGAAGGGUUUUUCAUG